rnacentral:rRNA from 1 species
UACGUAGGGGGCGAGCGUUGUCCGAAGUUACUGGGCGUAAAGAGUACGUAGGUGGCUUGUUAAGAUACAUCUGAAAGGUGACAGCUCAACUGUCAAUGGUGGUGUAAGACUGGCAGGCUUGAGGCAAGCAGAAGAGUGUGGAACUCCGAGUGUAGCGGUGGAAUGCGUAGAUAUCGGGAGGAACACCGGUGGCGAAGGCGGCGACCUGGGUAGAUACUGACGCUGAGGCGCGAAAGCGUGGGGAGCAAACAGG